ensembl:lncRNA
AUGGCCUCUCCCAAGGAGGCUCACAAUGGGCGCGGACAUAUUGCUCGCUAAGGAGCCUACGAAAUCCAAUCUCGUUGGCGUCCUUACGUCCUCGUCGGCCGCCUAGGUUUCCUGGAUUUAAACGCCAGAAACGGAGGCACUCCCAGAAUUCGCCUAGCCACCUGUAGAUCUUGUUGGCCUAACCGGAAGCAAGAGCUACAUUUGCAUCAACUGCUGCCACACCCCUCCCCUGCCCCAGGCUACUGCUGUUGCUACUCUCUGAGGAGCCCACAGAAGACCACACUUUAGGUGCAAACAAGGAGGGGCAUGGGGCCUACCGCCACUGUCCCUAAAAUCUGCAAACUGCAAUGG